AAUCUCAGAUCCCAAGGGUUGUGGUCCAGAUGAUUGAGUGGGGCCCCCAGCAGUUGGGUCAUGGGAGAUGCUCAAUCCGCUGAAUGCUAAUUCCCAUUACAGGCUUCAGAGUAGUCAGUCUCAGCUCCACGUGAGGCCCUGUGGUCACUGCCUUAUCAAAAGUCUAGCUGAAGAAAAAGUUGAUAUGGGAACCCUCGUGUGCCAGGCAGUGGAGGUCUGAGGCUUCGGGACUUUGGCCUUGACACAGCCCUGGCCCCGCCCCAUCUCUUGCUCACUCUUUGCCAUGGCUCACAUACUUCCAAGCAGACAGCUGAAUGCCUGCUACCUGCAGAGAAGGGUCAGGGCUCUCUGGGGAGUUCAGUGCUGGAUUUAAUAAACGUGCUCCCCUUUGCCCAGCCACGAGGUAAAGAGACGAAUGUCCCAGGGGCUGAGGUGCCCCCAUCCUCCACCUCUGGGGAGCUGGCCACUGGCAGAUCUUGGCUAUGCCUUGCAGGGCUGCUGGCUUUUUCUGUCUUAGUGCUUUACUCCUGUGUGCUGGGGUGGGGGAGUGUCGUCAUAGGGAGGGCUGGAGAAGAGGCUGCCAUGACCUUUGACACCACUGGGGGAGCCUUGGCAAGGCCACCUACCCUAUAUCAAGACCUGCAGAGGGCAUCUUAGAGACUGUGGCCCUUCUUUUUUUAAAAGCACACAUAAAAAUACAGUGGCUUCGUAAGGCCUCAUUUGGAGAUUGAAUUUUCGAAAAAGCCUUUGGCUCAAGGCACUCUGGGAAUGAGGUUCAGGACACAGGGCUCACCUGUGCUAGUCACUACGCUCACAUGUCAGGUCCAGGCAAGUUUGGAGGGGGGUCUCCUGCCAGAGUCUCCCCGCCCCUCUCUCCUGGUAGAUCGAGGCCUUACAGACUAUUUUGUGACUUUGGGGACUAGGUCUCUUUGCUGGCUUGGGCUGACCUGCAGGCAAAGGGACACACAGGAGCAGCUGCCUCCCAAGGGAGGGACUGUCAUCUUCUGCUCAGUUAUAAUCCGAGCUGAGAGACUUCUACAGAAGCUUUCCACUCAGGCCUGCAAUGUAUUCAGACCUAAAGAAGAGCUCCAUCGGCAGAGUUGGCUUUGUGAAGGCUUCCUAUUCUGGUGACUAUGGCUACAGGUUCAUGGCACAAAAAUACCUGCACAGGCCAAGCCUCAUUCUAAGAGUGGAGGCUACCAUGCCCACUCAGAACGGCUGUCUUCCCAACCCCAGCCAGAGAGUUGAUUUGGAAGAAAAACCCAGGUGCAGUUUGUCCCGUGAAUAUAACAGAAUGACCAGUCUACCCUGAAGGUGACAGAAUGACAGAAGGUCAUCAGUGCAGGACCUGUGUUCAUCCCAAGCCGGAUCCCAGAGAAGAGAGGACACAGCCAGACCAGGACUGGGGCUGGGGACCUGGCUUGGGCUUAGGCACAGAGAUGUGAGUUAGCAGAGAUUGCAGAUCUGGGAAACAGGGGAGGGGAUGUCUGCAGAGGAAACUAGGCGGGGAGGGAAUGGGGUUAGGUCACCCUGGAUUUUAUCCCGUAGACUCUGGUGAGCAGCAGGGCAAAUGGAAGGGUUAGGUGGGCACGUGGGGUGCCAUUCAUUGGCCCUGGUCUGCAGGGGACAGAUCUAAGUGAGGUCAGGAUUGGGGGACAAAGGAGAAGGAAGGUUUUGACAGUGGAGUAAGCAAGAAGAGAAGUUUCCAGGAGAGAUUGUAUGAUGUGGAGGGAGGAGGGGAGGUCCAGGUGCCAGCAUUUGGAACUGAGCUGGCAGGUGGGGACCAGAACUGACACAUCUCUCUUGUGACCUCAAGAGUGAUGGACAUGGCGGCUUUGUUCUCCUUAGGCCAGGCUGGGUUUUGGUGGACCUCUAUACCCAGAGGCUUUCCCUAACAAGAGGGCAAGGGCAAGGGCAGAUUCCUGGGGACACAUGUAUGGGGUGGGGGCAGCUGAGGUGCAAGACCAGAAGCAGAGGGAAGGGGGAGGUAGGUAGCUUGGUGGGGAGCCCAGGGGAGCAUGAGUCCUGCGUAAGAGAACUGACCUCCGUAGGCCUCAGAAGGGCCAGUACCCACUCUCUCCUGCCAACGUGUGAACAUGCUCCUUGUCCCCCAACAAGCCUAACAGCACGCCUCUCUCACACAGCUGUUGCUAAAUUAACAUCUGAAUACAGAUAUAGCAGAGUGGGAGGUUAGAGGAGACCUGAGAGCCAUGGUGGAUUUGGUAGUGGGAUGGGAUGCUGGGCCACCCGUCAGACCAGUUUUGGGAAGAGAAUGGGAGUUUAGAGAGGGAGGAGGCAUGAUUUGGGGCAGAGAUGAGUAUGGGGAGGACAGAGGAAGUCUGAGACAGCCUUAUCUGCUUCUUGUGGAAGUUUGCCCACGACAGGAAGGGAAAGCAUGGGGAGAGCUGAAGCCUUGAGGUUGGAGCACAUCUAAAGAAUGAAAACGGAUGUUUAUUGACUGCCCCAUCUCCCAGCAGCAUUGCGUGUUCCUUACAGAAAAGAAGCCCCUGCCCGGGGUGCAGGCGGAAGACCUGCUGCUGGCCUGAAGACUGGAUUAUUGUUUGGCGGCUUUUUCAUCUUGAGGAGACAAUGUGAGAGUUCUUUUUUUCUGGCACCGUGCAGGGGGAUGGUGGGACUCUAGGUCCUGUGGCAAUCUCGUUCAACUUCAACAAUAAAAACAAAGGGAACAGCUUGAGUCCAAGUUUGUCCUAGCCAUCUGCAUAAAGAAUAUACAAGCCUUUGAAAUGUUUUGAGACUCCAGAAGGAGAGGAAGGCACACACCCUUGGUGAUUCCGUCCUUAAGCACUGCUCUCCGCUCCCCCAGCUUCCUAUCACCAGGACCUUCCUUCUUUAACAAAAGUACAAAGAACACGCAACACAAAGUCAAAGAUGUAAAAAGUAGAAGUAAAGUCUUUCCAUGACUCCAUGUUCUUGCUGUGACUCAGAAUUGCUCAUUAGGGCAAAACCCCUCACACCUCGUGAGUUAACAGCCAGCCUGUUGUAGCCUGUUGUCAUUGCUCUGAAGGUCCAAGAUUGAAGUGGGUGUCACUAACACAUGCAGGCUGGAUCACCCCAAUUCUAGCCCCACUUCUGAAACAAGGAUUCUGGUAUUUCUGUGUUUCCUUUUCUAACUAGACAGUGAAUCCCCGAUGGAAAGGAUGAGGCUUUCUAUCUCUGGAUAGCCACUCGGCGGCUGGGAUGUAAGAACACUGGAAAAAUAGUUUUGUUUGGAAUGGCAGGACUUUCCAAACAGCCAGCUCCCUGCGAAAAGGACACUAGGUGUUGCUGACUCUGCAGGUGGGGGUUGGGGGGGGGGAGGGCAGAGGGCAGAGACACAGAAUCAACGGCACAGAUUCUGGGAGUUAUGUAAGCAAUCUCUCAUUUAUUAAACGAAGGGCUCAGGUAUUUAUGUGUGUGCUGUAUGGCAGGCAGGCUUUGCUUCCAGCUGCCCUGGCGUUGCUUGGUUUGACCCCGGGUCUUACAUUGGCAGUUGUCAUCUUGGGGGUCCGGUUUUAGGAUCCUCUGGGUCAGGAUGCUACUGUGCAUGUCAGAGCUCUUUGUUUGCUUAAGGCGUGGCCCAGUGCUUUCCGCCCUACCCACCUCAACCAGGCACCCAUUUUUCUUGAACACAUACAAAUAUUUGGAAUCAGGAUUCUGACUCCACAGUGGGGUUAGUAGCAAGGGCUCCAUGUCUCAGAGUCAGAGGAGAUGGAGCUAUGGGUGAGAAGCAUUAAUGCUGAUGGGAGCUUGUAGAAUGGAUGGAGGGAUGGUAUGUGAUUUUCCCUAGGGAUAUGUGAGUACAUAUCUAUUCACCACUGAUAAAGCAACAAAACUAAAACGAUCCUACCCAGGUCUAGCUUGGUGAACCAGUCAGUUUAUUGGGGUUACUUAGAGAAGUUACUCAAAGGCAGCUGCCUCACCAGAAAGCCCACCCCAGCGUGGAUACCAAGCUAUGAAAGCUACCUGCUUGACUUGCAGGUACCUCUGAUGGAGGAAAGUCUUCAUUCCGUAGGACCUAUACUGCUCUUAAAAUCUUGGGGGAGGGCCCAUGGAUUUUUAUAAUUUGUGAAUUUCCCAAGCCUUACACAUUUCAUGAAUUUCCUGAGCCAUGUGAGUGUCAUUACCUUCCUGGGGUUAUGAGCCUCUGCCUCUCCUUCUAGGAGGGAAUUCUUUGAAGGAGGUGAAACAGUUCCUCAAGGAAGAUGGUGAACUUGUUUCUCAUGUCCUCCAGAACAAAUGACCAGAAAGUAAAUGAACUGAAACGGUAGGAAUUUACUAUCGUCCGGUUCUGGAGGUCAGGGGCAUGGGAUGCAUCUUCCUGGGAUGACAUCCAGAUGUGAGCCGUGCUGUGUUCCUUCAGGGGGCUCCGAGGGAGAAGCCUGCUUGCUGUCUUGCUUUUUAGAGGCCACCUGCAUCCUUUGGAUACUAGCUCCUCUUCAAAGCCAGCACCUCAGAUUUGUCUUUGAUUUCUGACAUAGCCCUGGUAGUCUCUUCUCCUGUCUGAGGGCUCUGAUAAUGAUGAUGGGCUGAACCUGGUCCAUCCAAAUAAUCUCCUCUUCUCAAGGUUAACAGAAAGGCAGCUGGAAUUCUACCCACAACUCCAGUUCUCCCUUGAUGCAUAACAUACUCACAGGCUCUGAGAGAAGGGACAUGUGUAAUUUUUGGUGGGAAGCGUUCUUUUACCACGAGGGAGGCUCCCAAUGGUCAUUGUAGUGUCGGCACCCUUGUUCGGGAUCAAUACUUGAGGAAACUUGACCUCAGACAGUUUAUGUGAAUUCCAACUGUUGGCUCCACGGGAGAAAAACUUCCCCUGAGCCCUGGGCUGCUGGUCACUGGAGCAGCAAGUCAAAUUCUGUUGGAGGCUUGGGGCCUUUCCCUCCGGUUCCCUUUGCUUUGCCUGGCCCCCCUUUUUUAAUUUUCUUUCUUGAGGGAUGAUGCCCCUCCAUGGACUCAGAAUGGACUUGAUCCAGUCACAAGAAAGGCUCAUUGCUUGAACAAGAGCAUGGACUUUUAGAAUUGUACCUUCUAAGUGCCCACUUGGGGAUGUUGAGCUUUAGUGAUCAAGGACUCCAAAAGUCUGAAAUCCUGGAAGUUCCCCUUAGGAACUCUACGAAGAAGGCCUAAAGAGUGAGCACCCACACCAGCCUUUUCUGCCUUAGUGGCUGCUGUAGAUUUCACCCUAUGGUUACCCCGUCGAAUGAGGCUGGCAUCUAGAAUUCAAGAGGACUUUAGCCACUGGGUAUUCACAGCGAUGGAGCUGGUGACGCUGACAUACAGUUCAACUCUUAAGGCAGAAGGUGGGCAAUAAAAGAAAUUUUCAGUCAAGGUCAAUGCUGUAGGCGAAGACACGAGAGAGACUUAGUGCAUGAUGUUUUCUCUUGGAAAGAGCAAACCAUGAUCUGGGGGAGCAGAUUCCCAGAGGUGAUGUCUGGAUCUCAUUUAGAAAGUUAUCAGCCCCCCCCCCCCCCCCCCCCCGCAAGUCGGCCGAUUCUGUCAGCCGUAGGGUACUAGCAGUUUACCUAACUAGCCUAGCAGUUCACCCUACCCUCUGCGCCUAAAGAUAGAAGCUGGCCAAGGACAGGAUCUAAGGCUUUUUUACUAGAGAAGUAAAUUCUUGAGAACUCCGAGAUGAAUCCAGUCUGUGAAGAAAGACAAGGCCCUGUGGAGAGACCUUGGGGGCCACUGAGAAAGGCAGCCCUGAUUCCUGGAGGAGCAUCAGGAAGAGACCACGGUACAUUGUUGAGUUAUGGAAAAGUCACUUUGGCAUAGUACCACAGUUUCCUCUCAUCCCUAGCAACCAACAGGGGAAAAACCCCGUCCUCAAAGACGAGCAAAAGUGAAGCAAGACACCUGUAUCCAGCUGUAGCUAGAAGGCAGGUCCUGUGAGGAAGCGUCAGUUCUAAGGCACACCAGUAGCUUCCCGGGGGGUUCCUGCUUCUCUCUUCCAUAGCUGUUUCCAAGGAGGCUUCCCCAGCUUCUAAGAUGUGCAGACUGGAUGAUCAAGAAAACUUGGCAAUGAUGGAGACAGAGCAAGAGCGCAGCCAGGAACAGGAUCGUGCAUGUUGAGGAUGGAUGAUUAUGGGAAGAUGUUAGAAGACAGCACAAAGGGAUGGGACCUUCUGGGGUCACUGACCUGUACCUUGUACUUGUCCCUGGACUCCCCGCUUUCCCAUGGGAUAGGCUCAGCAAAUGCCUGGUUUGUCAGUAUAUUUGUCAAAUUAUUUGUGGUUAUUUCUAGGUCCACAGCCUGUGAAACGUGAUUGGAAAGGACCCACAGUAGGGAGUUCACAGUGUCUUUCCCACUGGUACUCUGUUUUUUUCUCGAGCUGGGAAAGUGACAUUAAAAGAAUAAUAAGGCAUAAUAAGAAAUGAGAACAAAGUGUCCUGAGGCAUAUGUAUGAAAAUGCCACAAUGAAACCCGCUACUUUGUGUUUUAACCCCCAAUUGAAGAAAAAUGUAGUAAUGAAAUAAAUCAAGCUGAAAUGAA